GUUCUGGAGGCUUGAAAGUCCAAGGUCAAGUGGAUGCAACUGAUGGUGUUAGAAGUGGGGUCUGAAGUAGAGCCUCUAUAAGAACCCCAGGAGUGCUGAGUGAACAAGCAAGGUAUCUGCUGGAGCUACUUGUGUCCUUUGAUCUCUCAGCAGCUGGAGAUCAUGGUUUUCAAAAGUACUGCUUCCCUUCUCAUCCAUCUCUUCUGGAAUUGGCAAAUGCCCUCAGGGGUCAAGCAACCACCAAUAACGGGUUUACUUUUCUGGGAGCUGAACUUCUGAUGUGUGGAUGGGAGGGGAGAUGGCAUAUGGCCUGGUGAAAUAGGAAUUCUUCAUUGUUUUUUCUAGCAUUCAUUUGGUUACUUCCAGUGUUUUAAAAUAAAAUAUUUGUCACAAACAAAUGAAAAAACAUUCCAUGCUCAUGGAUGGGAAGAAUCAAUAUCGUGAAAAUGGCCAUACUGCCCAAAGUAAUUUAUAGAUUCAAUGCUAUUCCCAUCAAGCUACCACUGACUUUCUUCACAGAAUUAGAAAAAACUACUUUAAAUUUCAUAUGGAAUCAAAAAAGAGCCUGUAUAACCAGGGCAAUCCUAAGCAAAAAGAACAAAGUUGGAGGCAUCACGCUACCUGACUUCAAACUAUACUACAAGGUUACAGUAACCAAAACAACAUGUUACUAGUACCAAAACAGACAUAUAGACCAAUGGAACAGAACAGAGUCCUCAGAAAUAACACCAUGCAUCUAUAGCCAUCUGAUCUUUGACAAAACUGACAAAAACAAGCAAUGGGGAAAGGAUUCCCUAUUUAAUAAAUGAUGUCGGGAAAACUGGCUAGCCAUAUGCAGAAAGCUGAAACUGGACCCCUUCUUUACACCUUAUACAAAAAUUGACUCAACAUGGAUUAAAGACUUAAACAUAAGACCUAAAACCAUGAAAACCCUGGAAGAAAGCCUAGGCAAUACCAUUCAGGAUACAGGCAUGGGCAAAGACUUCAUGACUAAAACACCAAAAGCAAUUGCAACAAAAGCCAAAACUGACAAAUGGGAUCUAAUUAAAUGAAAGAGCUUCUGCACAGCAAAAGAAACUAUCAUCAGAGUGAACAGGCAACCUACAGAAUGGGAGAAAAUUUUUGUAAUUUAUCCAUCUGACAAAGGUCUAAUAUCCAGAAUCUACAGAGAACUUAAACAAAUGUACAAGAAAAAACAAA